rnacentral:misc_RNA from 1 species
GAGGUAUUUGCGUUCUUUCUCGUCGUGUCUUCCCGGCCUGACGUUUCUCUCUAGUCUUCUCGGUUUUGCAUUCUGAGUGCUUUCAUCCCUGCUUUCCGUGAGUCCAGCGUGCGCUGCGCUUAGCUACCCGUGUGUGUCUCACACACCUACACCCCGCCUAUACUAACCCUCCGCCCUGGCACCCCCUCUCUCCGUCUCUUCUCUUCGUCGCACGCGUGCACGCCAUCCAAUCAUGUUCACCUCCAAGUCUGAGUACGACCGCGGCGUGAACACCUUCAGCCCGGAGGGUCGCAUUUUCCAGAUCGAGUAUGCUGUGGAGGCCAUCAAACUGGGUAGCACCAGCCUCGGAAUCCGUACGCCCGAGGGCGUCGUUCUUGCCGCGGAGAAACGCGUGCCAUCGACUUUGGUCGUUCCGUCCAGCAUGAGUAAGAUUAUGGAGAUCGACAGCCACAUUGCGACUGUCAUGAGCGGCAUGGUUGCAGAUGCGCGCAUCCUUGUCGAGCACGCCCGCGUGGAGUCGCAGAACCACCGCUUCACCUACAACGAGCCCAUGUCCGUGGAGUCCUGCACGCUAGCGACGUGCGACCUGUCGAUCCAGUUUGGUGAGAGCGGUGGCAAGCGCAAGCUGAUGUCACGCCCGUUCGGCGUGUCGCUGCUCAUCGCCGGCGUAGAUGAAAAGGGCCCGCAGCUGUGGCAGACAGACCCCAGCGGCACGCACACGCGCUACGACGCCCAAGCCAUUGGUGGCGGUGCCGAGGCGGCGCAGAGUGUCUUCACGGAGCGCUACCACCGCAACAUGACGCUGGAGGAGGGCGAGACGCUCGCGGUGGACAUUCUGAAGCAGGUGAUGGAGGACCAGCUGUCGCCGGAGAACAUAGAGGUGGCCGUAGUGCGGGCAGACGACGGCAAGCUGCACAUGUACACACCCACAGAAAUCAAAGCAAUCAUGAGUCGCAUGCCGGAGUAAGAAAUGAAAGACAACCAAUGGAACAUGCAGAUGUAGCAGUCGACGAUCGCCCCACUCCUCUGUGAAGAGUAGGAUUCACAGAAUAGAAAAACGAUGAGAGGAAGAGCUGCGCUGAUUCCUGUAAUCGCACUUUCCAAGGCCGAUGCACGACCAAGGAGGGGAAGCAGCGCUGAAUCGUCAACGCUGUCUCCUACCCUCUCUAUUCCCUCCCCUAUCAAUACCAUCUCUUCCCGUUUUCGUGCUUCACGUCGUUGGUCUCGUCCUCUUCCACUAGCCUCUUAUCUCCCCUGCUUCGCUGGAAGCGCACAACUUGGGGCUACUGCUGCUGCUGCUGCUGCUGCGUAUGCGUGUGUGCAGCAGUAGCGGCUGCGUAUGUGGCGUCGCUCUGGUGGUACUCUCUGUUCCUCCCCUCUUCUAUUUCAUGCCCUUUGUCUGUUUAUCUCCCUUUUUUCCCUUUUGUGCUCUCGUUCAUGUUGUGGCGCUUUCCAUCCACUCUCUGUGCGUGGAUGUGUCGUCUGUGUAUGCGUCUCUCUCUGUCUGUGUAUGUAUGUGUGUGCGCGCCUCUCUCUCGCACGCAGCCAUUGAAUCGGCCAUGGUAUUCGUUGACUGGAAGAAUAGCGGAAACAAGCGAAAAACCGAAAAGGACACACCCGAGGAGCAAAUCUGCCGUCAGGACCGGGCCAGCGCGCACCGUGAAAACCACGCACUAUUUACUUGCAGCUGACAGCAGGAGAGAGGAGACGGGCAAAGAUACGUCCAUCUGCACUGAAUGCGCUGCACGUGCGUUGUUUUGUUUUUCCUCUCGUGGAGGAGGUGAGGGUUGGGGUGUCUGAACGCACCCGGCGCAAGCUGUGGCGGGCAAUGUAGGACUCAUCUCAUCACCAGAGUCCAUGCGCCAUCCUUCACGCAGCCUGCAUUGUUGCCUUAUGCGGGGACUUGUCCGACAUGACCUUAGUGCGUGGUGCGGUGAGCAGAUGUCGUGGCGCUGCCUGGGGGCCUCCAUUCGUCAAGCAAUGCGUUUUCUCCUCUCCGUCUCUCGCAUUUCUGCUCUUUUCGGUGCGGCCACGCUAUCCCCCUUUCUAUCUCUUCUUUUCACUGCGGUUUAAUGGCGCGCGCCAUUUCCCUUUCUCCAG